rnacentral:rRNA from 1 species
GACGAACGCUGGCGGCGUGCCUAAUACAUGCAAGUCGAGCGAAUCAAUAGGAGCUUGCUCCUGUUGGUUAGCGGCGGACGGGUGAGUAACACGUGGGCGACCUGCCCGUAAGACUGGGAUAACACCGGGAAACCGGUGCUAAUACCGGAUAAUCCUUUUCCUCUCAUGAGGAAAAGCUGAAAGUCGGUUUCGGCUGACACUUACACAUGGGCCCGUGGCGCAUUAGCUAGUUGGUGAGGUAACGGCUCACCAAGGCGACGAUGCGUAGCCGACCUGGGAGGGUGAUCGGCCACACUGGGACUGAGACACGGCCCAGACUCCUACGGGAGGCAGCAGUAGGGAAUCUUCCACAAUGGACGAAAGUCUGAUGGGGCAACGCCGCGUGAGCGAUGGAGGCCUUCGGGUCGUAAAGCUCUGUUGUUAGGGAAGAACAAGUAUCGGAGUAACUGCCGGUACCUUGACGGUACCUAACCAGAAAGCCACGGCUAACUACGUGCCAGCCGCCGCCGUAAUAC